AUUGAACGCUGGCGGCAGGCUUAACACAUGCAAGUCGAGCGGGGUGAUGGUGCUUGCACUAUCACUUAGCGGCGGACGGGUGAGUAAUGCUUAGGAAUCUGCCUAUUAGUGGGGGACAACAUCUCGAAAGGGAUGCUAAUACCGCAUACGUCCUACGGGAGAAAGCAGGGGAUCACUUGUGACCUUGCGCUAAUAGAUGAGCCUAAGUCGGAUUAGCUAGUUGGUGGGGUAAAGGCCUACCAAGGCGACGAUCUGUAGCGGGUCUGAGAGGAUGAUCCGCAACACUGGGACGGGGACACGGCCCAGACUCCUACGGGAGGCAGCAGUGGGGAAUAUUGGACAAUGGGGGGAACCCUGAUCCAGCCAUGCCGCGUGUGUGAAGAAGGCCUUAUGGUUGUAAAGCACUUUAAGCGAGGAGGAGGCUCUUUUGGUUAAUACCCAGAAUGAGUGGACGUUACUCGCAGAAUAAGCACCGGCUAACUCUGUGCCAGCCGCCGCGGUAA
rnacentral:rRNA from 1 species